rnacentral:rRNA from 1 species
UGGGGAAUCUUCCGCAAUGGGCGAAAGCCUGACGGAGCAAUGCCGCGUGAGUGAAGAAGGCCUUCGGGUUGUAAAACUCUGUCCUUAUCGAAGAGAGAGUGUUGUAGUAACUGACAAUACUAGGACGGUAGAUGAGGAGGAAGCCCCGGCUAACUAUGUGCCAGCAGCCGCGGUAAAACAUAGGGGGCAAGCGUUGUCCGGAAUCACUGGGCGUAAAGGGCGCGCAGGCGGUAAAUUAAGUCAGGUGUGAAAGUUCGGGGCUCAACCCCGUGAUUGCACCUGAUACUGAUAAACUAGAGUGUUGGAGAGGUAAGUGGAAUUCCUAGUGUAGCGGUGGAAUGCGUAGAUAUUAGGAGGAACACCAGUGGCGAAGGCGACUUACUGGCCAAUAACUGACGCUGAGGCGCGAAAGCGUGGGGAGCAAACA